GAUGAACGCUGGCGGCGUGCCUAAUACAUGCAAGUCGAGCGAAUGGAUUAAGAGCUUGCUCUUAUGAAGUUAGCGGCGGACGGGUGAGUAACACGUGGGUAACCUGCCCAUAAGACUGGGAUAACUCCGGGAAACCGGGGCUAAUACCGGAUAACAUUUUGAACCGCAUGGUUCGAAAUUGAAAGGCGGCUUCGGCUGUCACUUAUGGAUGGACCCGCGUCGCAUUAGCUAGUUGGUGAGGUAACGGCUCACCAAGGCAACGAUGCGUAGCCGACCGGGGACGGUGAUCGGCCACACUGGGACUGAGACACGGCCCAGACUCCUACGGGAGGCAGCAGGAGGGAAUCUUCCGCAAUGGACGAAAGUCUGACGGAGCAACGCCGCGUGAGUGAGGAAGGCUUUCGGGUCGGAAAACUCUGUUGUUAGGGAAGAACAAGUGCUAGUUGAAUAAGCUGGCACCUUGACGGUACCUAACCAGAAAGCCACGGCUAACUACGUGCCAGCAGCCGCAGUAA
rnacentral:rRNA from 1 species